UCUAUACGGUGAAACUGCGAAUGGCUCAUUAAAUCAGUUAUCGUUUAUUUGAUAGUACCUUACUACUUGGAUAACCGUGGUAAUUCUAGAGCUAAUACAUGCUAAAAACCUCGACUUCGGAAGGGGUGUAUUUAUUAGAUAAAAAACCAAUGCCCUUCGGGGCUCCUUGGUGAUUCAUAAUAACUUAACGAAUCGCAUGGCCUUGUGCCGGCGAUGGUUCAUUCAAAUUUCUGCCCUAUCAACUUUCGAUGGUAGGAUAGUGGCCUACCAUGGUUUCAACGGGUAACGGGGAAUUAGGGUUCGAUUCCGGAGAGGGAGCCUGAGAAACGGCUACCACAUCCAAGGAAGGCAGCAGGCGCGCAAAUUACCCAAUCCCGACACGGGGAGGUAGUGACAAUAAAUACUGAUACAGGGCUCUUUUGGGUCUUGUAAUUGGAAUGAGUACAAUUUAAAUCCCUUAACGAGGAACAAUUGGAGGGCAAGUCUGGUGGAUUCGUCCCAGCAUUUAUGCUGCUGACGCCAGAUAGAGGGAGCUUCGCUCCUAGUCGACCACACUGUGGGCUUUGGGUGUGUGGCGGCAAGACAACCUGGAUCGGGGGAGGCUAAGGGGCGUCAGCCCUAUGCUAACACCGAGCCGAGCCUGGUAACCACAGGCCGGUGUAGAGCGCGCAAAGGUGUCGGUUCUCUUGUAGAGAGCUUAAGGUACGUGCCGUCUCCUGCGAAAGUAGGCUGAAGAAGUGAGCCCCCAAAGGGUAAGUUUCUUUGGGUAUACCCUGUGGUGUACAGCGAUGAGACUCAUCAAUAACGGCCAGCAGCCGCGGUAAUUCCAGCUCCAAUAGCGUAUAUUAAAGUUGUUGCAGUUAAAAAGCUCGUAGUUGAACCUUGGGCCUGGUUGGCCGGUCCGCCUCACCGCGUGCACUGGACCGACCGGGCCUUUCCUUCUGGGGAGCCGCAUGCCCUUCACUGGGUGUGUCGGGGAACCAGGACUUUUACUUUGAAAAAAUUAGAGUGUUCAAAGCAGGCCUAUGCUCGAAUACAUUAGCAUGGAAUAAUAGAAUAGGACGUGUGGUUCUAUUUUGUUGGUUUCUAGGACCGCCGUAAUGAUUAAUAGGGAUAGUCGGGGGCAUCAGUAUUCCGUUGUCAGAGGUGAAAUUCUUGGAUUUACGGAAGACUAACUACUGCGAAAGCAUUUGCCAAGGAUGUUUUCAUUAAUCAGUGAACGAAAGUUAGGGGAUCGAAGACGAUCAGAUACCGUCGUAGUCUUAACCAUAAACUAUGCCGACUAGGGAUCGGGCGAUGUUAUCUUUUUGACUCGCUCGGCACCUUACGAGAAAUCAAAGUCUU
rnacentral:rRNA from 1 species